UACGGAGGGUGCAAGCGUUAUCCGGAUUUACUGGGGUUAAAGGGUGCGUAGGUGGGUCUGUAAGUCAGUGGUGAAAUCUCCGGGCUUAACCCGGAAACUGCCAUUGAUACUAUAGGUCUUGAAUAUCCUGGAGGUGAGCGGAAUAUGUCAUGUAGCGGUGAAAUGCUUAGAUAUGACAUAGAACACCCAUUGCGAAGGCAGCUCACUACGGGAUUAUUGACACUGAGGCACGAAAGCGUGGGGAUCAAACAGG
rnacentral:rRNA from 1 species